AGUAAUGCUGCCUAAGGAUGCUUUUUGUUUUCCUUUAAACCAAUCUUUUAAAAAAGCAGAGCUUUCAAUACAAAUUUCAGAUGAGUGCUUAUUACCUUCUUUAGAGAUGUGUGAUUCACCUUUCACAAAAAGGAAUUCCUAUACAAAAUGUUAACAAGUACUUAAUUAGCAUGUUUAAAAUUCCUCCUUAUAGAUCUUAAAGUUUAAAUGACUCCCAAGCUGUGAUUUUCUAUUCCUUGAAAAAGUCCUCCUGUUUGCCUAGGUUGAGGAAAAUCCUUAAUU
rnacentral:lncRNA from 1 species